UCUAAUAUGGCAGAUUAGUGCAAUGAAUUUAAGCUUCAUUUAUAAAGAAUUUUAUCUUUUAUUAGAA
rnacentral:tRNA from 1 species